GGGCAACUUAAGACGUAAGCAGUUCACGCAAUUCACAUCUUUCCCUUCAUUUGCAGCAGUCACGUGACACGUCUCCUCCUUCUCUCGUCCACACUCAACCCUCCGUCCACCAUCACCGCGCACCAUCACCACCGCCUCCAACGUCUGACCGUUCUUCUUUGAGGCUCUGCUUCAUCUUCACCGGCGACGAGGCCCCACGCUGCGCCUCCUCUGCUCCGAACCCUAGAUUUUCUUCCCGGCCAUGUCGACCGAUUCCCAAAACUCUCACCGCAAGCACAACUGCUUUCUCACCGAUGAUGAUGAUCAUUCGCAAAGGAAUGUUAUACGUCAUUGGCUGACCAAAACCGGAUAUGUGAUAUUUAGGAAAAAAUAUGUAAUGAAAGCUACGGAAUGAAACUUGUGCUUUGGUGAAAUUCAUGAACGGAAAUAUGUGUCAAGGUUCGUGGUUAUACUGUGAGAAUUAUGAGAAAUAACCUGGACCCCUGUAGGUCAAGGCUUAAUUUCUCAAUACCGAUUCACAAGCCAUAUCUACAUUGUCACAAAUUAGUCCAUCGAAUAUUACAUGGGUGACCUUGGGGUUGAGCUCAAUUUCUAUGAUAGCAAUGGCUCCUACACUGCCAACACAGUUUCUUGUUCGGACCCAGUAUGUACUACUAUGGUUCCAUCAGCAUCGUCUCAAUGCUCAGCUGAAAAAGUAAACAGUGUGGUUACUCGUUUCAAUAUGGUGAUGGAAGUGGGACAUCAGGGUUUUAUGUCUCUGAUAUGUUGUACUUCGAUAUGAUUCUAGGGAACUCUAUGAUCGCUAACUCAUCCGCCUCUAACGUUUUCAGCAGGUUUCCAUAAAUAGCAGGCUUCGGGUGAAAUGAAAAGGGUGAUUGAGAUUCGUUAUUUUAUAGGAGAUGCGUUGCCAAGUGGAGAUUUUAUGUUCUCAUCAUCGAACCUUCCCUUUCGGGAAUGGGAACAAAAGUAUGGUUUUGCUCGAUAUUAUGUUAACCUUGGAUUAAACGCCUCUGAAUUUGAUUUAGAACGGGAUGUUGAACAAAAGAAACGUUAUGGUUUGUUGAAAGGUUAUGAAGGCAAUGUUAAAUUUGUUUCUUGCCAUCCUACAAAUAUUGAUCUUGUUGUAUCUAGCUCAAUAGAUGGGUGCUUUGUGCUUUAGGACUUGAGGUGUAAGCCUCACCAAGGGACGAAAUGGAUAACAUGAACUUAACAUGUUGAAGGAGCUCAUGCCUUAGCUAGACGAAAGCGGUCCAAGAAUAGAAAAGAAGCUUCGCUUUCGUUUUCAAUGACUGUAACAUAUGUUCUUUAUCAUAGAGAUGAAGUCUUUAUUGCCACAGCAGGGGCACUAGACAGUGUAGUAAAGUUUUGGGACACAAGAAAUCUUCGAACCCCAGCUACUCAAGCUGGUUCACUUGAAGGGUCUAUGACUGAAAUGAAAGGAAGAGAACAUGGGAUAACCAGCCUAUCCCAAGAUCUUAAUGGAGUGCUUCUUUCUGCAUCUUGUGAAGAUAAUAGAUUGAGGGCCCAAGAUCUCCUGAAGAGAUGCUUUCUAUAUUACAGAGAGUUCUGGAAGAAACUGCACCUGUACUUGUCUCAGCCAUGGUAGAAGCUGAGGAGAGGAGGACCAAGUAACAUAUGAUGAGGGAAGAACAAGAUGCUUCUUACAGGGCUGCAUUAGAAGCUGUCAGGUUUUCAAAACUCCAAGGGAGGGGCCCUUACCAAAAAGGAGUUGGAUGACGUUCGAGACAAGUGGGCUAUUUACUUCAACGAUUGUGAACUACCCUCAGUGUAAUAAAUAGAAUAAAUAGAGCAGGCUUGUAGUUAUUCGUGACUCUUACAUUAUUUUGUUAUUUAUCGAUUUAAUUAAUUACAUUUGAAUUAAUUCGGUAAUAUUAUUGGAAGUUUGAAAUUUA